rnacentral:sRNA from 1 species
GUCGGUUAUGGAGAUGUUUAUCCUGUCGGUCCAUUAGGGAGAGUAGUGGGAGUUUUGUGUAGUUUAUGUGGAUUACUAGUGUUGGCUAUGCCAAUAGCUAUCAUUGCGGGUAAU